rnacentral:rRNA from 1 species
CUACGGGCGGCAGCAGUGAGGAAUAUUGCACAAUGGGGGGAACCCUGAUGCAGCAACGCCGCGUGGAGGAUGACGCAUUUCGGUGUGUAAACUCCUUUUAUAUGUCAAGAAAAUGACGGUAGCAUAUGAAUAAGCACCGGCUAACUCCGUGCCAGCAGCCGCGGUAAUACGGAGGGUGCAAGCGUUACUCGGAAUCACUGGGCGUAAAGGACGCGUAGGCGGGUUGGAAAGUCAGGUGUGAAAUCCUACAGCUUAACUGUAGAACUGCACUUGAAACUUCUAAUCUAGAGUAUGGGAGGGGGAGAUGGAAUUAGUGGUGUAGGGGUAAAAUCCGUAGAUAUCACUAGGAAUACCUAAAGCGAAGGCGAUCUCCUGGAACAUUACUGACGCUAAGGCGUGAAAGCGUGGGGAGCAAACAGGAUUAGAUACCCGGGAGUC